CAAAUGUCGAGAUUCGAAUUUUGAGUUGGUGGUGUUCACAUGUGGUUUUCUUCUCAACGCAAAUUUUGAGCUAUAUUUGUGCUUUUUUGGUGUUUUCUGUGGUGCCUGCUUAGUUUUGAGUGUGUUUUAUAUGUAGAUUUGUGUUUCAUUAUUCAUCAUUUCAUCAUUUCAUCUGCUCGAUAUCCUCCACCAGAAAAGUUGGAAUUAUUUUCUUACAUUAAUUUCUAUAUAUUUUUCUUUUUCUGUUUCAUAUUUUCCCAUGUGUCGUCACUAGCUACGCGAGUCUGGCAGAAAUUGCCGUCAAAUACGGCAGAUUGCCAUAAAAAAAGAAAAAAAAAAAAAAACACAAA